CAGCUCGUCAGUCCACCUCCCACCCGAGUCUCCCCUUUACAAUCCACACAAUGUCAUUCUGUAACGUAGACUCUGCCACUUACAUCAGGUUUAGGAUAUGUAGGCGUCAGAUUCCCAGUGGCAUCAUGGGAAAACUGAACAAAGCUUUUGGAUAAAAACUCUCUGAUGACAAAAGAAGAAAUACACUGAUCACUCCACAAUAAUAGAAUUGUGUGACCUUAAGGUCAUCACUAGUACGUAAGGUCAUUACUAGUACGUAAGGUCAUUACUAGUACGUAAGGUCAUCACUAGUACGUAAGGUCAUCACUAGUACGUAAGGUCAUCACUAGUACGUAAGGUCAUCACCAGUACGUAAGGUCAUCGCCAGUACGUAAGGUCAUCACCAGUACGUAAGGUCAUCACUAGUACGUAAGGUCAUCACCAGUACGUAAGGUCAUCAC
ensembl:lncRNA